rnacentral:rRNA from 1 species
UACGGGGGGGGCAAGCGUUGUUCGGAAUUACUGGGCGUAAAGGGCUCGUAGGCGGCCAACUAAGUCAGACGUGAAAUCCCUCGGCUUAACCGGGGAACUGCGUCUGAUACUGGAUGGCUAGAGGUUGGGAGAGGGAUGCGGAAUUCCAGGUGCAGCGGUGAAAUGCGUAGAUAUCUGGAGGAACACCGGUGGCGAAGGCGGCAUCCUGGACCAAUUCUGACGCUGAGGAGCGAAAGCCAGGGGAGCAAACGGG